AUAGCGUAUAUUUAAGUUGUUGCAGUUAAAAAGCUCGUAGUUGGACCUUGGGUUGGGUUGAUCGGUCCGCCUUUGGUGUGCACCGGUUGGCUCGUCCCUUCUGCCGGCGAUGCGCUCCUGGCCUUAAUUGGCCGGGUCGUGCCUCCGGCGCUGUUACUUUGAAGAAAUUAGAGUGCUCAAAGCAAGCCUACGCUCUGGAUACAUUAGCAUGGGAUAACACCACAGGAUUCUGAUCCUAUUGUGUUGGCCUUCGGGAUCGGAGUAAUGAUUAAUAGGGAUAGUUGGGGGCAUUAGUAUUCAAUUGUCAGAGGUGAAAUUCUUGGAUUUACUGAAGACUAACUACUG
rnacentral:rRNA from 1 species